rnacentral:rRNA from 1 species
AGAGUUUGAUCAUGGCUCAGAUUGAACGCUGGCGGUAUGCUUAACACAUGCAAGUCGAACGGUAACAGGCCUUCGGGCGCUGACGAGUGGCGGACGGGUGAGUAACGCGUAGGAAUCUGCCUCAUAGUGGGGGACAACGUGGGGAAACUCACGCUAAUACCGCAUACGCCCUACGGGGGAAAGCGGGGGAUCUUCGGACCUCGCGCUAUGAGAUGAGCCUGCGUUAGAUUAGCUAGUUGGUAGGGUAAAGGCCUACCAAGGCGACGAUCUAUAGCUGGUCUGAGAGGACGAUCAGCCACACUGGGACUGAGACACGGCCCAGACUCCUACGGGAGGCAGCAGUGGGGAAUAUUGGACAAUGGGCGCAAGCCUGAUCCAGCAAUACCGCGUGUGUGAAGAAGGCCCUAGGGUUGUAAAGCACUUUCAAUUGGGAGGAAAACCUGCCGGUCAAUACCCGGCAGCUUGACAUUACCUUUAGAAGAAGCACCGGCUAACUCCGUG